rnacentral:rRNA from 1 species
GACGAACGCUGGCGGCGCGCCUAACACAUGCAAGUCGAACGAGCGAGAGAGAGCUUGCUUUCUCAAGCGAGUGGCGAACGGGUGAGUAACGCGUGAGGAACCUGCCUCAAAGAGGGGGACAACAGUUGGAAACGACUGCUAAUACCGCAUAUGCUAACAGUAUCGCAUGAUACAGUUAGGAAAGGAGCAAUCCGCUAAUAGAUGGGCUUGCGUCUGAUUAGCUAGUUGGUGGGGUAACGGCCUACCAAGGCGACGAUCAGUAGCCGGACUGAGAGGUUGAACGGCCACAUUGGGACUGAGAUACGGCCCAG